rnacentral:sRNA from 1 species
AAACAAAUGCCAAACUUUUUAUUAUAGAAUAUUCUCUAAGAUCAGUUUAAUUAUGUAUUUUAGGAUAUUGGUGCUGGAAAAGGCAAAUACUAUGCUGUCAAUUUUCCAAUGAGAGAUGGUAUAGAUGAUGAGUCAUAUGGGCAGAUAUUUAAGCCUGUAAGUAUUAUUGUUUUCACAAUUAGAAUGGAAUUUCAGAAUGUUAUUGGAGAUGCUAACAUUUGUUAUCUUGUGUGUAGAUUAUCUCAAAGGUGAUGGAGAUGUAUCAACCUAGUGCUGUGGUAUUACAGUGUGGUGCAGACUCAUUAUCUGGUGAUAGACUGGGUUGUUUCAAUCUAACAGUCAAAGGUCAUGCUAAAUGUGUAGAAGUUGUAAAAACUUUUAACUUACCAUUACUGAUGCUUGGAGGAGGUGGCUACACAAUCCGUAAUGUUGCUCGAUGUUGGACAUAUGAGACUGCAGUUGCCCUUGAUUGUGAGAUUCCCAAUGAGUUGCCAUAUAAUGAUUACUUUGAGUAUUUUGGACCAGACUUCAAACUGCAUAUUAGUCCUUCAAACAUGACAAACCAGAACACUCCAGA